GAUUUCUGGCUUGGUGCGCCUGGCCCGCCAUCGUUAGGUGUGUGAGUGCUGGGUCGUGCCUGCCAUCCUUCUAGACAGCAUCCUCUACUCUUCACUGAGCUGGAGUUUGUCAUCUAGAUCGUUUACUUUGAAAAAAUUAGAGUGUUUAAAGCAGGCUUUUGCUAUGAAUACAUUAGCAUGGAAUAAUAAUUUAGGACUUCGGUUCUAUUUUGUUGGUUUCUAGGACUGAAGUAAUGAUUGAUAGGGAUAGUUGGGGGUGCUAGUAUUCAGCGGCCAGAGGUGAAAUUCUCGGAUUCGCUGAAGACUAACUUAUGCGAAAGCAUU
rnacentral:rRNA from 1 species